rnacentral:rRNA from 1 species
CAGUCGCCGCGGUAAUACAGAGGGUGCGAGCGUUAAUCGGAUUUACUGGGCGUAAAGGGCGCGUAGGCGGUUUAGUGAGUGUGAUGUGAAAGCCCCGGGCUUAACCUGGGAAGUGCAUCGGAAACGACUAAACUGGAGUAUAAGAGAGGGUGGCGGAAUUUCCGGUGUAGCGGUGAAAUGCGUAGAGAUCGGAAGGAACGUCAAUGGCGAAGGCAGCCACCUGGCUUAAUACUGACGCUGAGGCGCGAAAGCGUGGGGAUCAAACAGGAUUAGAUACCCCUGUAGUCCCUGUCUCUUAUAC